AAAUUCGGAGAGGUAUGUUUUUU
rnacentral:piRNA from 1 species